rnacentral:tRNA from 2 species
UCCUCAAUAGCUCAAUGGUGGAGCAACCGGCUGUUAACCGGUAGGUUGUAGGUUCGAGCCCUACUUGAGGAGCCA